AUGCAUCCUGCACAGGGGAACAAUGUAUUCUACACAGAAGAGACAAUGCAUCCUACACAGAAGAGACAAUGCAUCCUACACAGAAGAGACAAUGCAUCCUACACAGAAGAGACAAUGCAGUCUACCCAGGGGAGACAGUGCAUCCUACACAGAGGACACAAUGCAUCCUACACACAGAGGACAAUGCAUCCUACACACAGAAGACAAUGCAUCCUACACAGAGGAGACAAUGCAUCCUACACACAGAAGACAAUGCAUCCUACACACAGAAGACAAUGCAUCCUACACAGAGGAGACAGUGCAUCCUGCACACAGAGGACAAUGCAUCCUACACACAGGAGACAAUGCAUCCUACACAGAGGAGACAAUGCAUCCUACACACAGGAGACAAUGCAUCCUACACACAGGAGACAAUGCAUCCUACACAGAGGAGACAAUGCAUCCUACACACAGGAGACAAUGCAUCCUACACAGAGACAAUGCAUCCUACACACAGGAGACAAUGCAUCCUACACACAGGAGACAAUGCAUCCUACACACAGGAGACAAUGCAUCCUACACAGAGGAGACAGUGCAUCCUACACACAGGAGACAGUGCAUCCUACACACAGGAGACAGUGCAUCCUACACAGAGGAGACAAUGCAUCCUACACAGAGGAGACAGUGCAUCCUACACAGAGGAGACAGUGCAUCCUACACAGAGGAGACAAUGCAUCCUACACAGAGGAGACAUGCAUCCUACACAGAGGAGACAAUGCAUCCUACACAGAGACAUGCAUCCUACACACAGGAGACAUGCAUCCUACACAGAGGAGACAAUGCAUCCUCACACAGGAGACAGUGCAUCCUACACAGAGAGACAGUGCAUCCUACACACAGGAGACAAUGCAUCCUACACACAGGAGACAAUGCAUCCUACACACAGGCACCACAGAGGAGACAAUGCAUCCUACACACAGGAGACAAUGCAUCCUACACACAGGAGACAAUGCAUCCUACACACAGAGACAAUCACCACACACAGUGCAUCCUACACACAGGAGACAAUGCAUCCUACACAGAGGAGACAGUGCAUCCUACACAGAGGAGACAGUGCAUCCUACACACAGGAGACAAUGCAUCCUACACACAGGAGACAGUGCAUCCUACACACAGGAGACAAUGCAUCCUACACACAGAGGACAAUGCAUCCUACACACAGGAGACAAUGCAUCCUACACAGAGGAGACAAUGCAUCCUACAAGAAAAAACACAGGAGACAAUGCAUCCUACACAGAGGAGACAAUGCAUCCUACACAGAGGAGACAGUGCAUCCUACACAGAGGAGACAAUGCAUCCUACACAGGGGAGACAAUGCACCCUACACAGAGGAGACAAUGCUCCCUACACAGAGGAGACAGUGCAUCUUACACAGGGGAAAUGAAACAACAAAUUUUUCUAAAGUCCGAAGGAUCCUCAUAA
rnacentral:lncRNA from 1 species